rnacentral:rRNA from 1 species
AUGAUUAAAAAAUUAAAGGAGGAAGAUGGAGGUGUAGUGGAGAGGGAGGAGGAGAUAGGGCCUUUUAUUGCUAACUACUACAAAAGUUUGUUCGUAUCUUCUGUAGGUCCUCCAAAUGAUGAUAUCUUCAAACACAUCCCUAUUUCACUCACACCAGAGAUGAAUGCUUUGCUGACCAAACCUUUCACUGGGGAGGAAAUCAGAAGUGCUUUGGAUGCUAUUGGGGACCUGAAGGCACCGGGACCGGACGGAAUGCCCGCUAUCUUUUACAAGAAGUUUUGGCACAUGAUGGGGCAGAAGAUCUAG